GGUAUGUCCACCAUAUGUCAAUUAUAAGGCCGAAAAUAUGAGAUAGUUGGACUGAAGGAGGACCCCUUCAAACAUGAGGUACAACAAAUCCAAAUCUGGCUGUUUGACAACUGCAGCUUUGAGGACUGGUUUUUUUCAAUCAUAUUGCAGUGUUAAGAAGGGAAAAUGGAAAGAAAGUAUAGUUGGUGAUAACCUCAGUUCUCACAUCAGCUUGAGGGUCCUGAAAGCUUGUGAAGAAUAUAACAUUGUGUUCUUAGCUCUUCCUCCAAAUGUGACCCAUUUUAUGCAACAUCUAGACAUAGC
rnacentral:lncRNA from 1 species